rnacentral:rRNA from 1 species
AUUUUUAAUGGCCGCGGUAUUUUGACCGUGCAAAGGUAGCAUAAUCAUUAGUUUUUUAAUUGAUAACUUGUAUGAAUGGUUUGACGAAGCAUUGACUGUCUCUUAUUUAUAUAUAUAAAUUAAAUUUUGAGUUAAAAUGCUUAAAUUUUAUUAUUGGACGAGAAGACCCUAUAGAUCUUUAUUUAUUUUAUUUUAUAUUAUUUGGUUUUUAUUUUUAUAUGUUAUUUAUAAUUUUGUUGGGGUGACAUGAAGAUAUAAAUAACUCUUUAUUUUAAAUUACAUUUAUUUAUGAAUUUUUGAACUUAUUUUAUUGUUAAAAGAUUAGAUACCUUAGGGAUAACAGCGUAAUUUUUUUUGAGAGUUCAUAUUGACGAGAAAGAUUGCGACCUCGAUGUUGGAUUAAGAUAAGUUCUAGGUGUAGUGGCUUAUGACUGUUAGGUCUGUUCGACCUUUAAAUUCUUACAUGAUCUGAGUU